rnacentral:rRNA from 1 species
AUUGAACGCUGGCGGCAGGCCUAACACAUGCAAGUCGAACGAGUGGCGGACGGGUGAGCAAUGUCUGGGAAACUGCCUGAUGGAGGGGGCUAACUACUGGAAACGGUAGCUAAUACCGCAUACCAUCAGAUCUGCCCAGAUGGGAUUAGCUAGUAGGUGGGGUAUCGGCUCACCAAGGCGACGAUCCCUAGCUGGUCUGAGAGGAUGACCAGCCACACUGGAACUGAGACACGGGCCAGACUCCUACGUGAGGCAGCAGGGGGGAAUAUUGGACAAUGGGCGAAAGCCUGAUGCAGCCAUGCCGCGUGUAUGAAGAAGGCCUUCGGGUUGUAAAGGACUUUCAGCGGGGAGGCGUUACCCGCAGAAGAAGCACCGGCUAACUCCGUGCCAGCAGCCGCGGUAAUUC